GUAGGUGGCAAGCGUUGUCCGGAAUUAUUGGGCGUAAAGCGCGCGCAGGUUGGUUCUUUAAGUCUGAUGUCGAAAGCCCCCGGGCUCAACCGGGGAGGGUCAUUGGAAACUGGGGAACUUGAGUGCAGGAGAGGAAAGUGGAAUUCCACGUGUAGCGGUGAAAUGCGUAGAUAUGUGGAGGAACACCAGUGGCGAAGGCGACUUUCUGGCCUGUAACUGACACUGAGGCGCGAAAGCGUGGGGAGCAAACAGGAUUAGAUACCCUGGUAGUCCACGCCGUAAACGAUGAGUGCUAAGUGUUGGGGGUUCCGCCCCUCAGUGCUGCAGCUAACGCAUUAAGCACUCCGCCUGGGGAGUACGGUCGCAAAGACUG
rnacentral:rRNA from 1 species